UGAUUAUUGGAGAGAUAGAUCGUUAGAGGUUAUCUUAGCAAUGAGGAGUUCUGCAUUUGUUUACGUUGUAUAGUGUGUCAGAGUAGAAGACAAAAUUGUCUAUAUUUUGGAUUUCCCAUCUAUUCUUUCUCAGCAGUCUGAUAUAAUGUGCAUUUAAGAGUGUUCUCCUUGGACUAGAGUUUAGUCUUAGCCAUCAUUCUCAAUAUUCAAAGUGGUUGGAGAGCUGCUUCUUUUCCCUGUUCUGGUCCAGUUGACCAAGGUUAACGGGAUCUCAAGUGCCAGGAGAAGGCUGUCUACCAGUUCCUUGCAUUUGACCGUGGGUGGACUUCACACAUUCACUGUUUCUCUCUUUUACCAGGUGGUUCUUGGUCACCUUCACCUCCCAUCAAGCAGCCUCCUCUUGCCGACAGACGUCACUCAGGAAGGACUUCUGGUGAUGCAGAUUUCUUGGGAAAGUUGUUGAUUUCACUGUAUUCGGGAAGGAUAAGUUUUGAUGAUCAUUUCCUGUGCCUAAGAAACCAUAGGUGAGAACCACACAUUCUAUCUAAUGUGGCUGUUGUUUCUAACUGAGGCCAGCUACGCUGAGCAAGCCUUUCCCGUCUAAGUGGAUGCCAAAAGCCCACCGGACCAAAAUAAUAUUAAAGACAUCCAAGGAGAACAUCUCUGAAUGGGCGGCAAGAUUGCUCAGACAGGUCUUGCUCUAUGAUGUUUAGCAGUGAAUACGAAUGUUACCAAUGGACACUAGAGCUGAAAAUCACCUUGGAGGACACCUGCUCUGACUCCCUCAUUUCACAGCUGGCACCUUGGCUGGCUCCCUGGGAAACACAACUGGGCACCUCAUGGAAAAGUCAAGGAGAUAACCUCAGAAGUAAUUCUGCAUGGAGAUGCUGAACCAGGACUCAACCCCUUCUCGCUCUGGAUCAUCUUUGUCAUUGUCAAAUAAGAGAUUCGUGGAGGGGUUUAUAUAUUUCCAAAUGGGAUUGUAAAUGCUUAAAGUUCAUAGAAUGUUGGAUCUGGGAGGAGAUUCUCAGUUCAACUCAACCUUACAUCCUACGAGAAGGAAACAGAAAUCCAGAAAGUCAUGCAGUUAUAUGUAACCAAGAUGGAAACUAGAACCCUAUUUCCCAACUUCCAGAGGAAAACGUUUGGCUCCAAGAAUAGGCUUAUUCCCCUGAGCCCUGGAGCUGAUAACCAGGGGAGCCUCUUCACUAUGUAAAGGUCACUGAAUGAUGACUUGCUACUACAGACACAUUCCUGCAGCACCUACAAUGUUCAAGACAGAGGUAGUACAAGAGGGAAAUAAACUAUGAGGGAUGGGCAAAUCUGGGUAGGGGACAGCCAUGCCACACCCAACUGAGAUGUGGACUGGGCAAUCUACAUAUAAAACUAUAUUCCAGGUCCUGACUUCUAAAAUGUAUCAGCGGCUCUAGCUGAAUGGCAUUCUAGCCACACAGUCAUUACCCCUUGAUCCUAAGUUCGGCACAGCAGUUCUUACCAUUAAUUCUUCUAGUGUUGUAAAGAAGUAAGGGCAGAGGUGGGUGCAGAUGGCAGACAAAAGAGUGGGUCAUUUGGCCUGUUUAAGCCAUAGUAAGGUCUCCCAUCUCAGCACUAACCUAUCUGCCAGCAUUACAGGUGGCAUGUAGCAUGAAUUCAUCCCCUCUUCCGAGUCACCAAUUUCCCUAAUCCAAGCACACCUCCUACCCAGCCCAGCUUGACUCUGUUGAUCCAUCAGUUGCUGUCAUCACCAGGAGUCAAGGCAAGCAGGUGUUUUCAAGAUUUUUUUUAACUUUGCUAACACCAAGAACUCUUUGAAUAUUAAAAUCUCAGGCAGCAAGCGUGUCUUUCUAGUUUGGUUUGUAAUAGUUUGUAAAUGCAUUAAUAAUCCGCCCAACUUUGUCUGUCAUACUUUGUGUUUUUCUAAAUACACAAGCACGUGUCCUGAUUAAGUUCUUAUGUGGAUUGCGUUAAGUCUGUGAGUUUGGGUGACUGUUAAAGUGCUCUGU